UUGUCAUUUCCUUCAAUACAACAGCAAUUCUUGCAACUAAUUCUUCUGUUACCACCGCAAGGGUCCUGAACGAGUCACACCUACAAGCUUUCCUUCUCCUAAGCUUUUUAACAACCUUCGGUGGCGUCACAGCAGCUUCCCGUGAAGGUAGUUUUUCUUCUUUCUCUGUUACUGUGAUUUCAUUCGUUUCAUUGGCUGGCAGAAUCUCCUUUGUUAUCUCUGUUCGUUCUGUUAUCAGAGGUCCAUCGCCAUUUUCGGUAACAUUCUUAGUCUCCACAGAAGCCUCCUUAAUGGUUUCCUGUGAAGGUAGUUUUUCUUCUUUUUCUGUUACUACAACUUCAUUCGUUUUAUUGCCGGGCAGGAUCUCCUUUGUUAUCUCUGUUCGUUCUGUUAUCAGAGGUCCAUCGACAUUUUCUGUAACAUUCUUAGUCUCCACAGAAGUCUCCUUAAUGGUUUCCUGUGAAGGUAGUUUUUCUUCUUUUUCUGUUACUACAACUUCAUUCGUUUUAUUGCCGGGCAGAAUCUCCUUUGUUAUCUCUGUUCGUUCUGUUAUCAGAGGUCCAUCGCCAUUUUCUGAAACAUUCUUAGUCUCGAGAGAAGUCUCCUUAAUGGUUUCCUGUGAAGGUAGUUUUUCUUCUUUUCCUGUUACUACAACUUCAUUCGUUUUAUUGCCGGGCAGAAUCUCCUUUGUUAUCUCUGUUCGUUCUGUUAUCAGAGGUCCAUCGCCAUUUUCUGUAACAUUCUUAGUCUCCACAGAAGUCUCCUUAAUGGUUUCCUGUGAAGGUAGUUUUUCUUCUUUCUCUGUUACUACAACUUCAUUCGUUUUAUUGCCGGGCAGAAUCUCCUUUGUUAUCUCUGUUCGUUCUGUUAUCAGAGGUCCAUCGACAUUUUCGGUAACAUUCUUAGUCUCGAGAGAAGUCUCCUUAAUGGUUUCCUGUGAAGGUAGUUUUUCUUCUUUUUCUGUUACUUCAACUUCAUUCGUUUUAUUGCCGGGCAGAAUCUCCUUUGUUAUCUCUGUUCGUUCUGUUAUCAGAGGUCCAUCGCCAUUUUCUGUAACAUUCUUAGUCUCCACAGAAGUCUCCUUAAUGGUUUCCUGUGAAGGUAGUUUUUCUUCUUUUUCUGUUACUACAACUUCAUUCGUUUUAUUGCCGGGCAGAAUCUCCUUUGUUAUCUCUGUUCGUUCUACUUUAUGAGGUCCAUCGCUCUUUUCUGUUGCGUUCCUCCCCUCCACAAAUGUCAUCGUAAUGCUUUUCUGUGAAGGUAGUCUUUCUUCUUUCUCUGUUACUAAAGUUUCAUUCGUUUUAUUGCCUGGCAGAAUCUCCUUUGUUAUCUCUGUUCGUUCUACUUCAUGAGAUCCAUCGCUCUUUUCUGUUGCGUUCCUCCCCUCCACAAAUGUCAUCGUAAUGCUGUUCUGUGAAGGUAGUCUUUCUUCUUUCUCUGUAACGAGAACUUCAUUCGUGUUAUUCCCUGGCAUAUUGGGUAAAUAGUUGAGUCCCCCCUCGUCAACUUUCUGGCAAGGGUUCAUAACGGCCAUCUCCACGGUACCGGAGGUCGCCUUGUCGUCCGGGUGCCCUGCGGAGUUCGCUCCGCCGGCCAGCGGCAGGCUGCUGCCGCCCAGAUUCCCCAGGCACAAGACGAGCGUGCACACUGCGAAGAGCGUCAUAAUUGUUGACUGUGAGGAUAUGAAAUUAAAAAGA